GAUGGACGCUGGCGGCGUGCCUAAUACAUGCAAGUCGAGCGAACGGACGAGAAGCUUGCUUCUCUGAUGUUAGCGGCGGACGGGUGAGUAACACGUGGAUAACCUACCUAUAAGACUGGGAUAACUUCGGGAAACCGGAGCUAAUACCGGAUAAUAUUUUGAACCGCAUGGUUCAAAAGUGAAAGACGGUCUUGCUGUCACUUAUAGAUGGAUCCGCGCUGCAUUAGCUAGUUGGUAAGGUAACGGCUUACCAAGGCAACGAUGCAUAGCCGACCUGAGAGGGUGAUCGGCCACACUGGAACUGAGACACGGUCCAGACUCCUACGGGAGGCAGCAGUAGGGAAUCUUCCGCAAAGGGCGAAAGCCUGACGGAGCAACGCCGCGUGAGUGAUGAAGGUAUUCGGAUCGUAAAACUCUGUUAUUAGGGAAGAACAUAUGUGUAAGUAACUGUGCACAUCUUGACGGUACCUAAUCAGAAAGCCACGGCUAACUACGUG
rnacentral:rRNA from 1 species